rnacentral:rRNA from 1 species
GAUCCUGGCUCAGAUUGAACGCUGGCGGAAUGCUUUACACAUGCAAGUCGAGCGGCAGCGCGGGGCAACCUGGCGGCGAGCGGCGAACGGGUGAGUAAUGCAUCGGAACAUGUCCAUGUCGUGGGGGAUAGCCCGGCGAAAGCCGGAUUAAUACCGCAUACGCCCGAGAGGGGAAAGCAGGGGGACCGCAAGGCCUUGCGCGAUUGGGUUGGCCGAUGUCCGAUUAGCUUGUUGGUGAGGUAAAGGCUUACCAAGGCGAUGAUCGGUAGCUGGUCUGAGAGGAUGAUCAGCCACACUGGGACUGAGACACGGCCCAGACUCCUACGGGAGGCAGCAGUGGGGAAUUUGGACAAUGGGGGCAACCCUGAUCCAGCCAUUCCGCGUGAGUGAGGAAGGCCUUCGGGUUGUAAAGCUCUUUUGUCCGGAGCGAAACGGGCGGCCCUAAUACGGUCGUCUACUGACGGUACCGGAAGAAUAAGCACCGGCUAACUACGUG